GAUGAACGCUGGCGGCGUGCCUAAUACAUGCAAGUCGAGCGAACGGACGAGAAGCUUGCUUCUCUGAUGUUAGCGGCGGACGGGUGAGUAACACGUGGAUAACCUACCUAUAAGACUGGGAUAACUUCUGGAAACCGGAGCUAAUACCGGAUAAUAUUUUGAACCGCAUGGUUCAAAAUUUAAAGACGGUCUUGCUGUCACUUAUAGAUGGAUCCGCGCUGCAUUAGCUAGUUGGUAAGGUAACGGCUUACCAAGGCAACGAUGCAUAGCCGACCUGAGAGGGUGAUCGGCCACACUGGAACUGAGACACGGUCCAGACUCCUACGGGAGGCAGCAGUAGGGAAUCUUCCGCAAUGGGCGAAAGCCUGACGGAGCAACGCCGCGUGAGUGAUGAAGGUCUUCGGAUCGUAAAACUCUGUUAUUAGGGAAGAACAUAUGUGUAAGUAACUGUGCACAUCUUGACGGUACCUAAUCAGAAAGCCACGGCUAACUACGUG
rnacentral:rRNA from 1 species